UACGUAGGGGGCGAGCGUUGUCCGGAGUUACUGGGCGUAAAGCGCACGCAGGCGGUCUGCUAAGUUUGGAGUGACAGUUGGUGGCUUAACUGCCAAAGUGCUUCGAAAACUGACAGACUUGAGGGCUUCAGAGGGACACGGAAUUCCGGGUGGAGUGGUGAAAUGCGUAGAGAUCCGGAGGAACACCAAAGGCGAAGGCAGUGUCCUGGGGAGUACCUGACGCUCAGGUGCGAAAGCCAGGGGAGCGAACGG
rnacentral:rRNA from 1 species